rnacentral:misc_RNA from 1 species
GAUGAAGAACGUAGCGAAAUGCGAUACUUGGUGUGAAUUGCAGAAUCCCGUGAACCAUCGAGUCUUUGAACGCAAGUUGCGCCCGAAGCCAUUAGGCCGAUGGCACGCCUGCCUGGGCGUCACACGUCGUUGCCCCCCCAUCUACUCCUUCGGGAUUGCGGGGGGCGGAUGAUGGCCUCCCGUGCGCCUCGUCGCGCGGUUGGCAUAAAUGCCAAGUCCUCGGCGACGCACGCCACGACAAUCGGUGGUUGCGAAACCUCGGUUGCCCGUCGUGUGCGGUCGUCGUGCAUCGAGGGCUCGAAAAAAUUGCCGGGCUCCGGCUCGGCUUUCAACGCGACCCCAGGUCAGGCGGGGUUACCCGCUGAAUUUAAGCAUAUCAAUAAGCGGAGGA